AUCCAGGAUAGGCUGUGUCCAGCUGCUGGCCUAUUCUUGAUUACUUGUUUCUGGAGGCAGCUGACUGCACCCUACCAGAAGCAGACACUCCCAGGACACACCCCGAACCCUGCCCACCAUGUUUCCAUUUUCUACCUUGGGCCAUGGAA
rnacentral:miRNA from 1 species